GACACCGCACAGACACACACACACACACGCUCACACUUGAUACAUGCUCAAGUGAUUCAAAUUCAUGCUUGCCUGCUUGCAAUGAAGACUUGCUUUCUGCUUAAAACAUCCCACAGAGUGAUUUUGAAUAGUGAAAAAGAAUAACAAACAGCUAAAUGACAACAGCUGCAUGACCCCACAUCCAAAUGGUUUCAAACAAUUUCCUGAGUUUGCUCUGACGGUUCAAGGUGAAUGUAUGGUGUUUUUAGUAGACUCAGGAGCAACAAAUUCGGUAAUAAAAUCUUUCAUGUUUUCCAAUCCACUUAAAAUGAGUGGACAAUUUGUGCACACUAUAGUCUGGCCAGACAAUAAAAGAAAAACUUACUGUGCCUCUGUCUUGCACAACAUCAGACGGCAAGACACUCAAACAUUAAUUUUUGCUUUCAAACUUAUGCCCAGUUAAUCUAUUAGGAAGAGAUCUCAUGUGUAUUUUGGGUAUUUCACUGAUUUCCACUCCGGAGGGAGUGCAGGUUACAACCACAGACAAUGUAAAUAAUUUUUCUUUUGUUUGUGUUAAUUUCAGCUCAGAGCCGCUGCUCUACUCUUAUCAGUGGCUGCUGAAGGGAGAGGCUGUAACUGAGGCCCUCAUACAGGCUGCUCGACAGCUGGUUUCCCCACAAAAUACGACCUUUAGAGAUGCAUCUGACCUGUAUUGUACAGUACAUGUGUCCACUGGUCCUGAUGAGAAGUUUGAAAAAUCAUGGUUACGCACACAUGCUGACAAACUGACCUCAACCUCUCUAUUCUGGGAUGAACAUAUUUCUGUGCUUGCGAUUUCUCUCACUAACAAACAAGAGAGAUUUGUUGAUGCUUAUUCUACAGAUCCACAUGUCCUUCUGUCAAAACAUGACGGAGACAGAUGGCAGGACUUGGGUCCUUUCGUGGACAGAUGUCAACUGGGAGGAGACUGGCAAACGACUUCGGACCUGAAUGUGAAAGCAGCUCUGCCCAAACUGGCGACAGAUCCGUUGCACAUCAUCCAACCAGGAAACUGGGUGAUCAUUAAGGAGCUUUGCAGGAAACACUGGAACUUAAAACGGUGGCAAGGUCCCUUCCAAGUCCUUCUGACGACCAACAGGGCUGUGAAGAUCGCAGAAAGAGCGACUUGGAUCCACUCCAGCCACUGCAGAAAAGUCCCGGAUCCCACAAACGACCCACCAUCAUCAGUACAUCCUACGGAGAAAACCACCACUAACGAAAAGAACUGAGAAGGAUGACCCUCGCUGUGCUCACACACACACGCACUGAGCUAAAGGUGUGAGCCAAGCGCCACCUGAAGCUGCGCCUGUGAAUCACACUGUCUGACCAUAAAUCUACACACAAGCUCCUGAGAAAACAUACACACAAGCAGCCUUGAGUUGCUGAUGCUGGUUGACGUGUAGACUCUGGAGACGACAUUGGGAGGAAACCUGGCGGUGAUAACAAAUCCCAAGUGUCUCUGUGAUCAGCUGAUCACAACCUGAAGGACUCCAACGAACUGUCAAUGUGUCAACAAACAGGUUGGAAACAAUCUAUCGCUACUGUUAAACAGGAAGAAGACAUUGAUUGGGACCCUGUUGUUUUGAUCUUCACUGUAUGUUACUUUGAUAUUUGCUCUAAAUUGUGUGGUUGAUUUACACAAGAUAAAAAUGAUUGUCAUAUCAACCAUUGCGGUGGCAUGUGUGGCCCUCCUGCACUUCUGGAGGACUCACACAUUUGUUCACUAUAGACCCAAGCGCGACAUUAAGGAGCCUAAAGCAUGCCAGCUUGCCCAAAACGAUGUAAAUCAGAACCCCACAGGAAAUAUAUGGUUAGCGUACAUCAAGUACACUUCUAAGACCCUCACAAACAAUUCAUGCGUGGCGUGUGCUGUCGCCAGACGCGAUCUCAUGGCUGUGCCCACUCCUUUUAACAGCAGCGAGUGCUAUAAUGAACGACAACUGCGGAAUAGGGAGACCGGGUGUAGAUACACUGCGGACUUCAGCGUUCCGAGAUGUGCAGAAUGCGCGCCUUGCACAAUCUGGGCAGGGGUAUGGAGAUGUAUAGUCCUGUCACACAUAAGAAAGUUGAGGCGGCCGACAACCCGCUGCCUGUACUCAGGUAAUGUUCCUCACAGGGGGAAUACAUCUUUUACCCUCAGCUCCACAGAAACACUCACGGACCAGGUGCAGUGCCCCAGGUGGUUCCUUUGAUCCUGACCUUUACAUAGACGCAAUAGGCGUACCACGAGGAGUGCCGGAAGAGUUUAAGGCUCGCAACGAGCAGGUGGCGGGAUGGACGAGUGCUUUACCUUUCAUGGGCCCCAUAAUAGAGGUUAAUAUGAAUUUUGCCUGGAUCAACUAUCUUUAUUACAAUCAACAGCGUUUCAUCAAAAAAACUGCGGGCGGUAUGAAGCUAGACCAAACGUUUGGAAAAUGGAAAUCAGUUUUUAUGUCAGCAAUAGUCUCGCUUAUCAUUUUCAUGUCCAUGAUCAUGUUGCUUGGUUGUUGUGUUAUUCCGCUGAUUAGGGGUCUCAUAAUGCGUGCAACAUCAGCGGCGCUUUCAUACCAAAUGACACAAUGCACUACAUUCAGGAAUCCGGACACCGAUUCACUCAUUGAUUCUAAUGCCGACUCUGUAGAUGAUGAUGUUGACAUUAAUAACGAGGACUACAAAAAUGACUCAGAUAAUGAUGAUAGUCACGCGGAGGCUGACUCCACAAUAGUAUAAUCACCAUAUAAUCCUCUUCCCAUUUUUCUGCUUGACUGAACAAGAUCUGAUUGGAAUAAAAUAUUGGCUUGUUUCCCUUUCUUUUCAGACACUCACACACAGGGUUAUUCUAGUAUAACUACUAUAAGCAAUACACUUAACAAAUCAUUUUUAAGAAUCCUUUAUUACUACAGAAUGAAUGCCACGAUUGACAAUUUUUAUUCUUUUAAUGUUUAACUAAUGUGUAAUUAAAAGGGGGAUUGUAAUGGAAAAAAAAUUACUUUUAUGCUUCUUGUGUUUUUUUUUCCUUCUGUAUAGCAACCAUGUGCUCUGUACUUGAUUAGACUCAGCAAUGAACAUUCUUAGACAAACAAUCUAUCUCCCUCUCAAGGUUCUGUCACACAUUAAGUGCUGACAUCUAAUGUUGUAUUUGACUGACCGAUUGUUUAUGGUCUCUGUCUGCCUUUUACCCCUGGUCUAUGGCUCCUUCCUAUCUGACCCAAGGCUGUAAACCUAGUGCGUCUUGUCUUUGAAGCUCGGUGUCCCUUUCCUUCUGAUAGCAUGGCACCCAGGAUGCAGGAGCGAGAAUGUAAACAUCUUCACCCACAGUGUGAUUUGCUUUCCUCAUUAUUUGUCAUUUUCUUUAUUAUUUCAAUAAAUCGCACAAAAGGACAA